UACCCAUCUUGUUCCAUCUGUUCUAGUUUGAGAACUUCACCUCUCCAUCGCUCUUGACAAAAGAACGAGAUAUGGAAAUUCUGACAUGCUGCCACGUGAACUACUCUGCACCAUUUAGGAUGCUCAGGAAGCACUGGCCUCUUACUCCUCCCAGAUGAAGAUUCUUCUGGUCUUCACUCUGGACAGCUCUGCCCAUCCCUUUUGCACCCCAAUACCAUCCCCACCUCCAGAUAUGCACAAGGCCAGCACUGUCUUAGUGAUGACCUUUCAUCCCUAGAAGACCACCCAUAAUCUCCUCUCACCAUAAUCUCAUAAUUCUUCCACCCAUAAUCUCUUCUGUGUAUCUCAUCUCACCCCCAAUCCAUCUUCUAAGGGAUACAGUUUCUUUGUAGAAAUGUCAUUAUCUAAAAUUAAAUCAAUCUUACAUUUGUUUAUCUAUUUAUUGACUAUUGCCUGGUCAGUAAUGCAAGUUUCUCAAGGAGAAAAAACCUAGUCUUCUCUCAGGUUUGCCAAGAAUCAGGGCUAGAAUAGAUUGGAAACACAAAAGCAUUGGUUGAAGAAUGAAUAUUCUCAAAUGGUUAAAAUGUACAAUAUAAUAGGGUAAAAAGAAAGUCUUAAAUUUUUAGCUUUCUUCCUGAUUAAGCUUUUUUAAUAACUUUACUUCAAAAUUUUUCCUUGCUUACAAAUAUUCUGUUGGCAUCCUUUUCUUAAUUAUACAUCAGUUUUUUUUCUUUGAUUAACUUGGAAUUAUUUAUAUCUUAAAUAAUUUGUUUGUUCAAUAGUUUGAAAAUAUUAUUUGUAAAUAUGCCAUUUGUCUUAACUAUGAGAUAUAUAUCAUUGUAGAGUUUCAAAUGUUGAUAAGAUAAAAUAUAUUCAUUUUAUGUAUUAAAAAUACAAAAGCUACAAAAGUAUCCUGUACCUCAAACAUAAAAACCUCAUUUGAAUACACUGAUCAAUAUUAGAAUCCACCAAAUUCCCAGUAGAUUUUAGGUAAGUUCUGGCAUGAGGUAAUAUGUGAUACACAGAACAAUAUAUGAUAUAUUCUUGCACAAAAUAAAAAUGAAGAAACAUGUGAAUGAAAUCUUUGUGUCCAAUCAGCAAUCUUUGGGACACAUCAGGGAUGGAGAAACAGGUUAAAUGACACCAUGAGAGCAUUGGGGUAAAUCCAGAACAUGACCCUCUACAGGCCCAGUGACUUCAACAGGCAAACCAUGGGAAGAUGGGGGAGGGAAUAGAGGGAAAAAAAUGCAGAUAAAAAGAGACUUAAGACAUAUUACAAAUAAGAACAACUAAUAGACUCAAAAAUCCUAAUUGAUACAAAAAAAUCUCUAUAAAAUGGCAUAUUCAAACACUUAAGAAAACUUGAAAAUAUUCUGGCUAUUAGAUAAUAUCAAAGAAAUAUAUUUUUAAAUUUUAUUAAGAGUUAUGUGACAUUGUAGGCUGAUUCAUAGUGGGGUAGGGAGGGGAGCAUGGGAGGAAUAGACAAACUCUAGAUAG
rnacentral:lncRNA from 1 species